rnacentral:rRNA from 1 species
GACGAACGCUGGCGGCGUGCUUAACACAUGCAAGUCGAACGGAAAGGCUCUGCUUUUGUGGGGUGCUCGAGUGGCGAACGGGCGAGUAACACGUGAGUAACCUGCCCAUGACUUUGGGAUAACUUCAGGAAACUGGGGCUAAUACCGGAUAGGAGCUCCUGCUGCCUGGUGGGGGUUGGCAAGGUUCGGCGGUUGGUGAUGGACUCGCGGCUUAUCAGCUUGUUGGUGGGGUAGUGGCUUACCAAGGCUUUGACGGGUAGCCGGCCUGAGAGGGUGACCGGCCACAUUGGGACUGAGAUACGGCCCAGACUCCUACGGGAGGCAGCAGUGGGGAAUAUUGCACAAUGGGCGGAAGCCUGAUGCAGCAACGCCGCGUGCGGGAUGACGGCCUUCGGGUUGUAAACCGCUUUCGCCUGUGACGAAGCGUGAGUGACGGUAAUGGGUAAAGAAGCACCGGCUAACUACGUG